AAGAAAGGUGAUUGUUAUUUUCAUCUGUUACAUGGAGAUAAUUGUAGCUCUUAUACAUAAUUCAUGUAAAGCACUUGUGUAAAGACGAGUGCCUAGCAUAAAGUGAGUGCUCCAUUCCUGUUAGCUUCCAUCAUCAUCAUCAUAUCACCCUUGUCCCUGGCUGUAGAUUUGACAUAAAUUCCAUGGACACAAUAUGUAAAUCAUAUGGACAUCGUCUGAGAAGAGUCUGUCUCCUCUGGUAGCUCUUUAGGAUAAACUGAAAACUUCUGAGCCUGCUUGCCUCUGGCUCCUUCGUUUUAAAUCCUGGAAUUUCCAAGGUUACGACAAAGACUUCCACGUGAGAUACAGGCAAAGAACCGUUCCCUCCUCUCACCAGAACUGAAACUCUGAGGCUAUGAGUCUGGAGCUUCUGGCAGCCAAUGUGCUUCCAUGAGGAGAAAGCCAGCCUGAGAAACAAACCUGGAAAGCAGAGUCAAGAGAGGAGAGAAAGUGAGUCCUGAUGCCGUCAUCUGAGGCAGUGUUUUCAGCCACACCCGCAGUCAGCUUUCCCCUGGACGACUUCUGUUUCAAGAGCUGAUACAUUUGACUUUUUUACUUGAGCCAGUUUGAGCUAAUUUCUUUCCUUAUAAAUGAAGGAGUUCUGAGUGAUACAAGAUGAUUGCUAGUGUUACUACAGUUCUUCACGGUGUUUGAUGAAGUGAUCCCUUGCCGGUGCAUUUGUGGUAGUAUCAGGUCGCAGAUUCCACCUGCCAUGGCUGGCAUAGAGGAGAAAGGAGAGGGAACCUACAAACCUCUAGUCACAGGAACCUUUGCCGAGAAACAGACUAGUGGACACCAGGCAUGGUCAGUGGAGACAGACCAACUGGAACCCAGGAUUAAAGUCAGUCCUGAAGAAUUGCCAGAAUGUAUUGAUUCAAACUUCCGACAUUCACCAGGAAUCUACCCUUCUCCUACUCUCAAUGCAAGCGGAGCUCUAAAGGUGGCAUGUGACCCUAGUCUGACUAAUCAAAGCUUCAUAUUUACUUUACUGCAGAGAGGGAUAAUGACAAGCCACUGGGACUCCAUGCUCCUUUGCUGAGACUUCUGAGAUAGACCUUGACCUAGGGACUGACUUCUCAGCCUGGGUA
rnacentral:lncRNA from 1 species